rnacentral:tRNA from 21 species
GCGGGUAUAGUUUAGUGGUAAAACCUCAGCCUUCCAAGCUGAUGAUGGGAGUUCGAUUCUCCCUACCCGCUCCA